GCUUCUGUGGCAUAAGUAGAUAGAGCAUCUGCAUUAAAUGCAGAAGGUCGCGGGUUUAAUCCCCCGGCCGAGUCAUACCAGAAGCU